AGGGAGUUUGAUCCUGGCUCAGGAUGAACGCUGGCGGCGUGCCUAACACAUGCAAGUCGAACGGGACUGAUUCCUUGGAGAUUCGUCAAAGAGGAUGAAAGUUUAGUGGCGGACGGGUGAGUAACGCGUGGGUAACCUGCCUCAUAGAGGGGGACAACAGCUGGAAACGGCUGCUAAUACCGCAUAAGCCCACACUGCCGCAUGGCAGAGGGGGAAAAGAUUUAUCGCUAUGAGAUGGACCCGCGUUUGAUUAGCUUGUUGGCGGUGUAACGGACCACCAAGGCGACGAUCAAUAGCCGGACUGAGAGGUUGAACGGCCACAUUGGGACUGAGACACGGCCCAAACUCCUACGGGAGGCAGCAGUGGGGAAUAUUGCACAAUGGGGGAAACCCUGAUGCAGCGACGCCGCGUGGGUGAAGAAGUUUUUCGGAAUGUAAAGCCCUAUCAGCAGGGAAGAUAAUGACGGUACCUGACUAAGAAGCCCCGGCUAACUACGUGCCAGCAGCCGCGGUAAUACGUAGGGGGCAAGCGUUAUCCGGAUUUACUGGGUGUAAAGGGAGCGUAGACGGAAUAGCAAGUCUGGAGUGAAAUGUAGGGGCUUAACCCCUGAACUGCUUUGGAAACUGUUGAUCUUGAGUACCGGAGGGGCAGGCGGAAUUCCUGGUGUAGCGGUGAAAUGCGUAGAUAUCAGGAAGAACACCGGUGGCGAAGGCGGCCUGCUGGACGGUAACUGACGUUGAGGCUCGAAAGCGUGGGGAGCAAACAGGAUUAGAUACCCUGGUAGUCCCCU
rnacentral:rRNA from 1 species